rnacentral:rRNA from 1 species
UGGGGAAUUUUGGACAAUGGGGGAAACCCUGAUCCAGCCAUCCCGCGUGUGCGAUGAAGGCCUUCGGGUUGCAAAGCACUUUUGGCAGGAAAGAAACGUCAUGGGUUAAUACCCCGUGAAACUGACGGUACCUGCAGAAUAAGCACCGGCUAACUACGUGCCAGCAGCCGCGGUAAUACGUAGGGUGCAAGCGUUAAUCGGAAUUACUGGGCGUAAAGCGUGCGCAGGCGGUUCGGAAAGAAAGAUGUGAAAUCCCAGAGCUCAACUUUGGAACUGCAUUUUUAACUACCGGGCUAGAGUGUGUCAGAGGGAGGUGGAAUUCCGCGUGUAGCUGUGAAAUGCGUAGAUAUGCGGAGGAACACCGAUGGCGAAGGCAGCCUCCUGGGAUAACACUGACGCUCAUGCACGAAAGCGUGGGGAGCAAACAGG